rnacentral:rRNA from 1 species
AUUGAACGCUGGCGGCAGGCCUAACACAUGCAAGUCGAGCGAGUGGCGGACGGGUGAGUAAUGUCUGGGAAACUGCCAGAUGGAGGGGGAUAACUACGGGAAACGGUAGCUAAUACCGCAAACUCUCGGAUGUGCCCAGAGGGGAUUAGCUAGUAGGUGGGGUAACGGCUCACCUAGGCGACGAUCCCUAGCUGGUCUGAGAGGAUGACCAGCCACACUGGAACUGAGACACGGUCCAGACUCCUACGGUAGGCAGCAGUGGGGAAUAUUGCACAAUGGGCGCAAGCCUGAUGCAGCCAUGCCGCGUGUAUGAAGAAGGCCUUCGGGUUGUAAAGUACUUUCAGCGGGGAGGCGUUACUCGCAGAAGAAGCACCGGCUAACUCCGUGCCAGCAGCCGCGGUAAUUC